CGGGAGGCAGCAGCAAGGAAUUUUGCGCAAUGGGCGAAAGCCUGACGCAGCGACGCCGCGUGGGGGAUGACGGCCUUCGGGUUGUAAACCCCUUUUCCCGAGGAAGAAAUAUGACGGUACUCGGGGAAUAAGUCUUGGCUAACUACGUGCCAGCAGCCGCGGUA
rnacentral:rRNA from 1 species